rnacentral:rRNA from 1 species
CGUGUUGCCUGCAAGGGCGUAUGGUGGAUGCCUUGGCAGACAGGACCGAUGAAGGACGUUUGAGGCUGCGAUAUGCCUCGGGGAGCCGCCAACAGGGCUUUGAUCCGAGGAUUUCCGAAUGGGGGAACCCACCGGCCGUCAUGGGCCGGUACCGCCGUGUGCGGGGGGUACGCAGGGAAGUGAAACAUCUCAGUACCUGCAGGAAAGGAUAUUCCGUGAGUAGUGGCGAGCGAAAGCGGAUCAGGCCAAACCUUGCGCGUGUGAUACCCGUCGGGGGUUGCGCGCGGGGUGUAGAGGGAUCGCGUUUGCCGGCUCCGACGGGCCGGCCGUCAGUUGCAUAAAACCAUGUGCCAGGGGAACCGGGUUGAAUACCGGGCCGCAGAGGGUGAGGGCCCCGUACCCGAACGCGCAUGGUCUGGCGAUCGCGUCUCCCAAGUAGCACGGGCCCCGUGGAAUCCCGUGCGAAUCUGUCCCGACCGUGGGAUAAGCCUAAAUAUUCCUGUCUGACCGAUAGCGAACGAGUACCGUGAGGGAAAGGUGAAAAGUACCCCGGGAGGGGAGUGAAACAGUCUCUGAAACCAUGCGCCUACGAACCGUCGGGGCCCUCUUGUGGGGUGACGGCGUGCCUAUCGAAAAAUGAGUCUGCGAGUCAGUGGCAUGUGGCGAGCAUAACCCGUGUGGGGUAUGCGUAGCGAAGGCGAGUCUUAAAAGGCGUUUAAAGUCGCGUGUCCUGGACCCGAAGCGGGAUGAUCUAGCCCUGAGCAGGUUGAAGCGCGGGUAAGACCGUGUGGAGGACCGAACCCACCUGGGUUGAAAACCGGGGGGAUGACUUGGGGCUAGGGGUGAAAGGCC